rnacentral:rRNA from 1 species
CGGCGGACGGGUGAGUAACACGUGGGUAACCUACCUAUAAGACUGGGAUAACUUCGGGAAACCGGAGCUAAUACCGGAUAAUAUUUCGAACCGCAUGGUUCGAUAGUGAAAGAUGGCUUUGCUAUCACUUAUAGAUGGACCUGCGCCGUAUUAGCUAGUUGGUAAGGUAGCGGCUUACCAAGGCAACGAUACGUAGCCGACCUGAGAGGGUGAUCGGCCACACUGGAACUGAGACACGGUCCAG